GAAGAAAGUCCUCAUUCCCCUUUGGCACCUUCAAAGACUGCUGUGAGAAGAAGCCUUCAGUGACAUCAAAAGCCAAAGUCAGCACUUAACUGCCAAGAUCUGAACAUUCUAACAGCAACAGCCAAGCCAGAAGCAGAGGCUGCAGAGGCUUGAGUGCUUACCGGCAUGAAACACCGAUGUCAUCUUACAGUUAUCUCAGCGCAGUCUCUCUGCCAUUCAAAGAUGCCAUAUCCAGUGUCACAGCAUAAGCAUAAUAAGUAACAGGCUUCUGCAAAGAUCUGCUUCAGAAAGGCUUCCAGGCCGCUGUGACUGCACAUGCCAAAAAAGCCUGCAAUGAAAGAUAAACUGCUUCGCAAUAAUCAAGCGACACAGGGUUGCACAACUCAAAUGCCCUGGUGGGCCGGAACCAUCUACAACUUGGCGUGCAGGGGCCGAGUUGUCUACCUCGCUGCUUCAGACCAGCAACAUGCAUCUAUCCAGAGAACACAUGGGCUAGGACCAUAGUCGCCAUGGUAACUAUGAACUCCUGAGAUGCUUCUGAUAACACAGUCCCAUAGUGAACAUUGUUGCCCACCACCACCAGUCUGGGUGACACCAAUGCCAACCUUGCAACAAGAUCUGUCAGCUCAGUUACGGACUUUGUUGAACAAUGGGGUGAUCUGUACACAAACAGUAGUCCCAAUCUAUCCUUAGUCCCUAGGCUUAGGUACAGACACUUGAUAUGGGCCAAUUCCCCGACAGGGAUCCUGGUAAAUGAGACAGUUUCCUUAUAGACCACACCACACCACCUUCUUGCCCACAUCCUCUCACUUGCUCCACCACAGAGUAUCCUGUUGGGAGAAGCUGAGACUAGACUGGACCACUAGCCACCCUUCAACCAGGUCUCUGUAAUGCAUAGCUCCUUCAUCCAAAAUCAAAUCACAGAUGAUCUCCAGUUUGUUUUGAACCAACCUGGCAUUAUAAAUUAGCAAGGUGAAGUUCUAUGAGAGAUUGUUACUGCUCCCCAGUAUUAAAGAGCUGAUACGCCAGCUGGAAGGAGAAUCAGCCAUUAAGUUUCUGAUUUCCUGUCCCCUGUAAUGGCCUGCUGACCUACCAACAUCAUGUCUUCAUUGAUGCCCCACCACCACUGGAAUGGCCAUCCCAGAGUCAUUUCCCUCUCCCCAUCUCUGGACAACCAAAGACACAUACCUGUACCAGACACAACCAAUAAUAAGGCAACAAUACAUCACUAUCAGGAGGUCCUGCCCUGGCCCUCAGUCCAACCACCGAAGGCCUCCACCAAAGUCUGCCCCCCUUUGGUGGCCAGCUUUGGCAGCUCCCUGCAGGAAGCACACCUACAGGCAAGCCACACCAGCGGCUGCAUACCAGUGAGCCACACCAGCGGCUGCACCGGAGGCUGCACCCUCAGUGUUGCUCGCCUUUAUAAGAGCCAAAAGUUGGAAAAUGAGAACACACCAGGUGACUCACUCACCCUGCUGGCCCACAACCUCCCUGUUAUCAGUGGCACUAUGUCAGCCACCAAUGCUCUCUUGUUCCUCCAACCCCCCAGCUCUGGCAUUUUCAAAAGCUGGAUGGGAAGGUGGAAGAAGGAAGUGUAGAGUGCUUGGUUAUUGCAUCUAGAACUGGGGAGGGGGUGAGGAAAGAGAUCUGAGAGAAGGGCAUUAUGCACUGGGGAGGUGGGGGAAUAAGAUUUGAUGGGAGAAAAGCCCAGAAGAUGAUUGUGUGUAAGAGCUGGAGUGGGAAAGCCAAGGAGGUGAGGGGAAUUGUUGCACAUUUUGCACUGCUGGGGAUGGGGGAAGAGCACUUGGAGUAGAGAGGGAACUGGCAAGUGGCAUGCUUUACCAAGGGGGCAGUGAUUCAGCGCAACACUUUAGGCUAUGGGAGGGGCUAGGGCUGGCCCUGGAGCAAAAAUCAGAACCAGAGUUUGAAUUAGAGGAGCUACAAUUUGCCUUUGCCAAGAGCACUAUUUACAUGCCAUAUCAUUGACAAAAGAUUGUGCAAAAGAAACUCAUUUGGAAGAUUAUUACUGAAUACAUAUACUGUGUGUGCUAUGAAGCUCAUAAAACUGGAUAUCUGCCUGUGAUGAACUGCAUUAUUAAUGGUUGUCAUGUAAAAGGUUGCACUGUUUAAAGCAUUUUAGAAUGGUUAUUGUAUUAUACCAAUGUGUGCCUGUAUAAUACUUCCUCUUACGUCAUUAAAAAAAUAAUAAUAUGA